AUAAAAGAUAUCUGGUUGAUCCUGCCUGAACUGAUGUGUUCAUUUCAAAGAUUAAGCCAUGCAUGUAUAAGUUUAAUCGUUUUAACGAGAAACCGCGUACGGCUCAUUAGAA
rnacentral:rRNA from 1 species